AGUGAUUCCGCCAGUGUAAACUCUUACCAGCAUUUUGCAAGACUUCCUAUUUUUCACUUCUUCUCUAGUAUUGAAGCCUCUUCUAUUUUAUCCAAUCAGAUGAGUGUGAAAUUGUACCUCACUGUACUAAUUUCUGCUUUCCUGAAUACUGGCUUUAUUCCCGAAGGACACGGUGGAUAUUUUGUGUGGCCCAAGAAAAGCAAAUGCUGGAAAAAAGCACUAGAAACUGCCCUUUGAAGUUUGCUACCAAGAUCUAAUAUCUUGACAGACCAAAUGGGUACUUGGUGCCUACUGAGAAGCCUUUACUCCCUUUACUCUUCCUCAGAUCAAUGAAGGACAAAUUGACUUCUCUGAAAAAGAGUGACCCUCAGGAGCCUGAGGAGAGAAGGCAAGGCACGCUGAGGUGAUCCUACAUCCUACACAGCCCACAGGGCUCCCAUGCUCCAGCAAUCACAAUGGAUUUUUAAACAGAGAUUCUGACUUCUUCUUGAUCUAUGAGGCAAUUUCUAAAUUUAAUGAUAUCCAAAAUCUUCCCAGCUGUAUCUCUAUCCUUGGGUCUGUGAAAUUCCAUGCAAAAAGUGCUCAGAAAGCACUCCAUUCAGUGAAAGAUUUGGGGAGUUUUGGAAAUACUCAAACAAAAUCUGUUUAAUUUAUAUAAACCCCCAGUGAGAAAAGCAUUAAGAAUGGAAGUUUAGAAAUAAAAUUUUUCCACAUUAUUUCACAGGUUCUGUUUCCUUACUGAAUGUUGCCUGUUGCUUUUAUAAAUAAUAUUGCUUCCAGCUGGCACGCUUAAACAGGAUCCAUUCAAAUGGAUUUCAUGGGACAUUGAGCAAUUCCGGUACCUUUCUCAAUCAAAACUAAAGGUUACAUU
rnacentral:lncRNA from 10 species